GUGUCAGCAGCCGCGGUAAAGCCAGCACCCCCAAGUGGUCAGGAUGAUUAUUGGGCCUAAAGCAUCCGUAGCCGGCUUUGUUAGUUUUCGGUUAAAUCUAUGUGCUCAACGCAUGGGCUGCCGAAAAUACUGCAUGGCUAGGGAGUGGGAGAGGUAGACGGUACUCAGUAGGAAGGGGUAAAAUCCUUUGAUCUAUUGAUGACCACCUGUGGCGAAGGCGGUCUACCAGAACACGUUCGACGGUGAGGGAUGAAAGCUGGGGGAGCAAACCGGAUUAGAUACCCGGGUAGUCCCAGCUGUAAACGAUGCAGACUCGAUGAUGCAUUGGCAUAUAGCCAGUGCAGUGUCGCAGGGAAGCCGUUAAGUCUGCCGCCUGGGAAGUACGUACGCAAGUAUGAAACUUAAAGGAAUUGGCGGGGGAGCACCACAAGGGGUGAAGCCUGCGGUUCAAUUGGAGUCAACGCCAGAAAUCUUACCCGGAGAGACAGCAGAAUGAAGGUCAAGCUGAAGACUUUACCAGACAAGCUGAGAGGUGGUGCAUGGCCGUCGCCAGCUCGUGCCGUGAGAUGUCCUGUUAAGUCAGGUAACGAGCGAGAUCCCUGCCGCUAGUUGCUAUCAUUAUUCUCAGGAAUAGUGGGGCGAAUUAGUGGGACUGCCGUUGUUAAAACGGAGGAAGGAAGGGGCUACGGCAGGUCAGUAUGCCCCGAAACUCUGGGGCCACACGCGGGCUGCAAUGGUAGUGACAAUGAGUUCCAAACUCGAAAGAGAGUGGCAAUCUCUAAACGCUACCACAGUUAUGACUGAGGGCUGUAACUCGCCCUCACGAAUAUGGAAUCCCUAGUAACCGCGUGUCAUUACCGCGCGGUGAAUACGUCCCUGCUC
rnacentral:rRNA from 1 species